GCUCCCAGCCACACACCUUUAGGGACCGGGAGCGAUGGACACCGCAGCGAUGGGCGCUGCAGCUACCGGAGCGACCCGGGGAGCAGUCCUGACCCAGCAGAGAAAAGCGACAGAAACAUUAAUCGCCUCCCUACAAAGCACUGUAAAGGGAUUUCUACAAGCUCAGACUAAGAUAAAAAUUAUCAACUGUGGAUACAUGCCAAGACCCACCAGCCCGCCCCACCCGACACGAGGAGCUUUCAUGGCACACGAGGGAAUGUUUUAGUGAAGUUACUCAAAUUUUAUUUCAGGAACAGUUAAUAUUAGAUGACAAAACACCCCAACCAGAAAUGGGUUACGUUGAACAAAUUCUCCCAUAAGCACGGCAGUUUAUGGCACACUGCUGCUAUCUGGGUGUGUAUUUACACAUCCUCAGAUUUUAACCAACUCCCUUGGCAGUCAACACCAAGCCUGCCAUGGAGGCAGAGGGAACCCUGUGACCAUCUGGGGUCUAUGCCAGCACUCAGCUCAUGAGCCACCAGCCAACCAACAAAAAUCUGAAACAAACUGUACAGUUGUACUUUUAUUUGGACAUUUUCCAGUGAUAGCUAUUAGGCUACAGUUUUUAUGAUGCAUACAUUUACUAAGUACAACAUCAGACACUACAACAGAUCAGAGCUCAGGUAAUUCUGACAAUAUUUUGUUUUUCAUCUAUGUACUGUAGUGGCAUCAAGUGAAAACCUAUGUUUAAAGGCUUUUACUCACCGCAUGAAGUAUCAGCAUCUUAAAAAACCCAUGUGUUUGCUCAUAGUUUUAGUAUGGUAUUUGAAAUGUGUUCAUUUAAAUCACAAAUUACAUAUAGACCUUUAAAUUGCAAUUGCUGGUGUUUCUAAGUUGGGAACAAAUGUCAUUCGAUAUCAAACCACUUUCAAUGAAGCUGAUGCUGCUUUUUCCUGUAAUAGAUUAAUCUCAUUUAACUGACUUUAAACACUUUAAUGUUCCAUCCCAGUCUGAAGCGUGAGAAGCAAUUUUUCAAAAUUUGGAUAGAAGACUGUGUCUUAAACAUCAGAAUAAAAUGAUCACUGGAAUAAAAAUACACCAAACUGAAUGAGGUAAUUAUUGUGCAAAAUCUGUAGAAUAACUGUAUAUAUUUCUAGGGGGUCAUUGACAAGUAUUUUUCCAGCAUCUGAUAAAUCUAUCAUCUCAAUAGAUAAUAAAUUAAUAUACAAAAGAUAUGUCCACAUUAAAAGAGCAUAACAAUGAUUCAAAGGAAAAAAAAA